GCAGUUGCAGCCCUCCAGCAUGUACAUGCCGGCGGGGCGGGCGCUCUGCUCGCCCUCGAAGUAGAAGAGCACGUUUUGGUAGAGGGCGAACCACUUCUCGUGCCAGCGGUUGGUCUCCGCCGUCUUCUUGCUGAGGAACUACGGGCCCGUGCAGGGUUGCAAGGCCCUCAUCUUGUCAGCGGACAAUUUUGUAUUAGAAAAACACAAACAGAUACACAAACCCUGCUGGAAUUGGCCUCGUUUGCCCGGCGCCUUCACACAGUGAAAUCUGAGCCCGGCACAUCAAGGCCAGGCGUUGGGCAGGGCUUGGGCAGCGCCUGGAAUGUGUGACCGGCCUCGUGUCCAUCCGGCCGGGCACUCACCUGCCCCUGUGGAUGCGUCCUCACCUGCCCCCGGGCUCCUCCCAGCCAGCGCCGAGGCAGCGCAUCAGCUCCUGUGCAAAAUUCCAUGGAAUACCGUGGGAGCAAAGGGCAAGGCAGCCAAACCAGGGAGAGCAGCAAACUGCCACCCAGGCAUCUGACACUCAGUGAGGAGCUGGAGCCUUCCAGAACAAGCACGCCGUACAUCACGAUGAAAUCCUACAGCAAGGACCCACCUUUGCCAAGAUAAAGUUGCAGGCUUUUGUCCCAGCUGACGUAAUUUGUACUUUAAUAAAGCUUUUGCACAAAUCACGAAUGAUCACACAUCGUCUGUUCCACCAGGUCACCUGAGACACACGGGAAAAAUAAAUUACAGGAGUUGAAUUUUAUUUAUAAAGAAAGAAAGAGAGGGUUUUCUUUGACUACAUAAUUUUCUCCUAGACAUGCAGGCACUUUUCCUCAGCUGAAAAUGUUGAAUAUGUCAUUGCACAGCAAUCUAUAGGAAUUAAAAGGUGUCUAAUAUUCCUGGUCACUACAGUGAAUGCUCUUUGUAUAAUCAUCACUCUGUCCUUUAUUGUUCAAGCAUGAUUUAGUUCUCUCCAUUAUAUUAUCUUUAUUACUUAUCACUGAUCAUUCUCAUACUAGGACAACCUACUUUUUCUUGCUUUAAAUGUCUACAACAUAUAUACGAAUGUAUAUACUAUCUAAUACAUCCAAAUGUAUCUAUGUAUCCAUAUGGGAUUAUUUUUUAAAAUUCUUCAUUAUCAACAUUAAAGAAGGGCUUGCUUGUGCUUUUAAAAGAAGGAA